GACGAACGCUGGCGGCGUGCUUAACACAUGCAAGUCAGACGAUGAAGUUCCUUCGGGAAUGGAUUAGUGGCGAACGGGUGAGGAACACGUGAGAAACCUGCCUUUCAUUUUGGGAUAACUCCGGGAAACCGGGGCUAAAACCGAAUACUCCGUCUCGGCGGCAUCGCUGAGCCGGGAAAAAAUUUUGAUGAAAGAUGGUGUCGCGGCCUAUCAGCUAGUUGGGGAGGUAAUGGCUCACCAAGGCAACGACGGGUAGCCGGCCUGAGAGGGCGACCGGCCACACUGGGACUGAGACACGGCCCAGACUCCUACGGGAGGCAGCAGUGGGGAAUAUUGGGCAAUGGGCGCAAGCCUGACCCAGCGACGCCGCGUGAGGGAUGAAGGCCUUCGGGUUGUAAACCUCUUUCAGUAGGGAAGAAGCGAAAGUGACGGUACCUAAAGAAGAAGCACCGGCUAACUAUGUGCCAGCCGCCGCAGUAA
rnacentral:rRNA from 1 species